UUUUUUUUUUUAAUUUUUUUUUAUUGAUUUUACAGAGAAGUUUUAGACAAUACAAACAAAUAAAAAGACAUACAAACAUGUAUAGUUUCAUAACCUUUUUUUCAUAUCCCUCUCUUCUCGGACUCCCCCAAACCUCCCCUUCCUACAUCCCAAUUUCCAAAAUUAUUUCAGCAAAUUCUAAAUAAUUUUAUCAAAUAUAUUUUUUCUUAUUCUUUUCUUCAACUUAAUCUUAUGUCGCUGUAAUCUCCUUUUCUUUCUCCAAACCUCGACAUUUUAGCAUUCCUCAAUUUUAUAAUAGUUCUUAAGAUAAAUUUUAAAUUUCUUCCAAUCUUCUUUCGCCGUCUCUUUCCCCUGCUCACGGAUUCUGCCAGUCAUCUCAGCCAAUGUCAUAUAGUCUAUCACCUUCAUCUGCCACUCUUCCAGGGUGGGUAGUUCUUCUGUCUUCCAAUACUUUGCAAUGAGUAUUCUUGCUGCUGUCGUAGCAUACAUAAAAAAAGUUCUAUCUUUCUUUAACACCAAUUGGCCGGCAAUGCCCAAGAGAAAGGCUUCUGGUUUCUUCGGGAAAGUACAUUUAAGUACCUUUUUCAGUUCAUUAUAUAUCAUUUCCCAGAAAGCCUUAAUCUUCGGGCACGUCCACCAAAGGUGAUAGAAAGUACCUUCAGUUUCUUUACACUUCCAACACUUAUUAUCAGGCAAAUGAUAAAUUUUUGCUAGCUUGACUGGGGUCAUGUACCACCUAUAGAUCAUUUUCAUAAUAUUUUCCUUUAAGGCAUUACAUGCCGUAAAUUUUAUACCUGUGUUCCACAACCAUUCCCAGUCAGCAAACAUAAUGUUAUGACCAAUGUCCUGUGCCCACUUAAUCAUAGCUGAUUUAACUAUUUCAUCUUGUGUAUUCCAUUUCAGCAGCAGAUUAUACAUUCUUGACAAGUUCUUAGUAUUGGGUUCUAACAGUUCAGUUUCUAAUUUUGAUUUCUCCGCCUGGAAGCCAAUUUUCCUGUCUUGUUUAUACACCUCCAUUAUUUGAUAAUAAUGGAGCCAAUCUCGAACUUUGGGUUUCAAUUUCUCAUAACUCUGUAACUUCAACUUAUCUCCAUCUUGUUCC